GCCAAGCCCUGUGCUGUUGAUGGGUAAACAAGGUCCUCAGAGUGAGGCCUCCCAGCCUUGACUGUUCUCAAGCUGCCUAGGGUAGACUGCAUUUUCUUUGUUCACAUAUGCCAGCCCAACUAAUUGUAAUUUCCAGAAGCCAUCCUUGGAAUGGAGGGGGUACGGGUCGGUCCAGAGACUGUAAUCCAGAUGUUCUCAUCAUGGAAUAGGGGUGGUGAGGCAGCAGAAUCACCUGGAAAAAGUUGUAAACUGCGUGCCUCAGCCCAUUUCAGGAAAAGAGCAGUCUGAUUUAUUAGGUCACCGGAGUCCUAGGAAACCUUUUCUUUCUAUUUUAAGUUCCUGUGUUACCUUGCCAUACAUCCCUGCUGGAGAAGCGUCUUGGGGGCUCAUUCUCCUUAUAUUCUGGAAGACAGUUCCUGGGGAACCAAGGCUGCACAGACCCAGGACUUACAUCCAGAUGCCUGGCUUCUGCUGCACGGUAUUUGCACAGUGCUUGCAGCCUCCAGGAUCCCUGGUGUAGAAGCCUGUGCCAGGGCCUGCAGGUGUGAGGCUAGAUGGGGCUUGGUGCCUGAGAAGACAAGGCCUGAAAGAAGGAACAGCCCUGGAACUUGCCACACUUUUGACUCAUCUGCAGCUCGACAGCCCCAGGCAGGAAGUAAGAACGGUACCCGAGUGACAGCAGAUGCUGUGACUUGAGUUCACAGUCUCGCACAGCCCGCUAGCAGAAAGCAAAAGAAUUUUGAUUAGACACCAGCUGACCAACUCCAUGACCUGGGAAAAGACACACAGCCUCUGCAGCUCUGUUAUCUUAGAAGCAGCAGAUAUUGAAGGUGUACUUUGAGGAAUAUUGAGGUAAUGUAUGAAUGUGCCUCUGCAGGCACCUGGCACCCCAUCCACCUGACUUCAGUCAAGAUGCUCCAGGAUUGCCAAGGCCAGCCAGCCACCACGAGCGUCCUGAUCAGAUCACUGAUACAGCAUUUACUGCCUCACUGAAACCACCCAUUUACUACUGCUCUCUAUCUCCCAUUACACUCCUGAAAGACAGCAACCCAUACCAGUACUGCAGCUCCGUCCCUGCACUGGCAAUGGAUUUGGUAGAAGUCCCAUGGAAGGAUUCCUGGAGAGAGCAUCCUGACUCUGCUUCUCCAUCCAGAAGUGAUGUGGCCAGUCAACUACUACUACUUAGUUUGGUGGACAUCUCAGGAACCAAAACUAGGUGUGGAUGUGGGUGGCAUGUAUGUGAUGUAAUUGGCUGGCCACCUCUCACAUUACCAUCUAGCUUAUAAAUGUCCUUGCACUUACAGGGAUAUUUCACAGUUCAGCUGGGCUUGGAGAGGAUCAGGGAAUUCAGUAACUAGCUUAUACAUAAACCUAAGUUGUCGUGAGUACUCCCUUAUGUGGUUUUUGCAUCUUUUCACAUUAGCCACUUUGCCUCUAAGGCUAGGUGAUGGUCUUGGCUCCAGAGGUAAAUUGUGUUUUAGGCUAUACAACCCAGUAACUGUAAUUAAAAUCAUGAUGUGAGAUUCAGUGUACAUUUGGGAAAAAGCAAUCAUUAGGCAGUGAAGAAGCAUGUAUUUUAGACCCUUUGACUCUUCAUGUGAUUGGCAUGAUUUCUUUAUUUUUUUAAGAGUUUAUGAUGUGUAACUGACCUAAGCACUUUACAUCACAUUAUCUUCAUGACAAGCCUGUGACAUAGGGACUGUAAACAGUUGGCCCCAGGUCACACACCUAGAAAGGGAUGGCACUGGGAUUUGAAUCCCUGUACUAUGAUUCCGGAAUCUGCAGCUUUAAAUCGUGUCAUUACUUCUCUUCUAAUUCUGUUAAGCAUUUGACAUUUCCAGUAUUUAGAAGUGCGAUGCUUCCAUCUUAAUGAGAACUUGUAUAACCCUCAUGGUUUUUUAUAGGCUUUUCUUUUUAAUAGGUUUUUAUAGUGUCACUGACCUGGUGUCUGACAAACAGUCUUUUUCUCCAUCCAUCUGCAUAAUAAACUUAAGAAACCAGGCCA
rnacentral:lncRNA from 1 species